UUUUUAAUGCUAUUUUAAUGUUGUUUUUUUUUUCAGAUAUGGCUCAGGUGUUAAAACCUAACUGUUCCCUUGUGGGUAAAAGUCUUAUUCCUAUAAUAUUGAGAGUUAAAGCUGCAGACGCUGACGUAGAUGUCGUAGAGUUGUCCCGGUUUAAGAAGGACGAACCCCUGGAGAGUUUUUCUAAAGCUGCGUUGAUAGCGGAAUUUGAGAAAUUGACGGGUGAAUCAGUUAAGGAUGUAUCAACUCUGUGUGGAAAGAAUGAUUCUAUUGAGAAUGUGAGAUUACUUGUGCAUGAGAGCAUCAUUUUGGCCAAUUCUUUGGGGCUAGAGGUCAGAGGUUGAGCAGUCAAAACACUUCACCAACAGAAACGCCAGCGGCUAAAGGAAGUGGUACUAAAGCUGUCCCUGGUGAACCAUGUACUAAUCAGCAGCUGCAAGCCAUGAGGCAGGAUUUAGAUGAAUUAAAGAACAAAUCAAAAGAUAUACAGGUAGAUGAAGCACUAUCUUAUGUUAGGACAUUGGCAGCAAGACCAAAACUUACAACACCGGGAGUAUUGCUUGCGGCCAUCGAAAUGUUGGUUGAUGCAGCUAACAAAGCGAAUCAUAAAGACUGUUCAUUAUUUUCAAAAUCCUUUGCCAUGUGUUAAAAAUUUGAAGAUCAUGUUGAUUUUUGUGGGCUUGUGUUAAAAUUGUUUGGUUCCCAGGAGGACAAGAAGAUUUCCUCCUUAAUUUCAGACUGGGCAAAAUCUAAGAAAUACGAGGAACCAUCAGGGUCAAAGGAGAGGCAGGAAAAAUUAGAUGCACCACCUGCUUCAGCUUCUGGAUUUCCAUUUCCUGGAUAUGGGUUUCAAAAUCCAGGUUUUGGUUUUCCAUAUCCAAAUUUUUAUCCGGGGCCAAACUUUAAUACUGGUGGUUUUCGGCCUCCCAGAAUGCAAGGAAGUAGAGGUAGGGGAGGUUCUAACGGUGUUUGCUACUUUUGCAAGGAGUCAGGACAUUUUAUUGCCAAUUGUCCAAAAAUGAAGAAAGAUAAUUAAUUUUGUGUAUUUUUGUAUUUUGUGUAUUUUUGUAUUUUGUGUAUUUUGCUUUGUUAUUUUAUUUUAUUUUAUUUUUUUUUUUUUUUAUACCUUUCCCUUCCCAGGAGCUUCGAUCUCCAGUGAAAUUUUUCACGCGGGUAAGGGUUGAGUGUCUCUCCUUUAAAAUAAUUUGUAAAUACUGAGCAUUUUUUAGAUGUGAAAGGAUAUUUUUUGUUAAUUUCAGAAUAUCAGGGAUCAUGAACCUUUGGUUAAGAAAGAAAAGUUUGAGCCAGAAAUUCCAGAUUGGGAGUUAAAAUCGGGUUUCGAUCCAUCACGAGUUAAAUUAAGAAAGCAAGGUGACAUACUUUCA